GACGAACGCUGGCGGCGUGCCUAAUGAAUGCGAGUCGAACGGAGUGCAACAUCGGUCACACCUUCGGGUGCGACCUGGUUGCACUUAGUGGCGAACGGGUGAGUAACACGUGGGUAACGUGCCUCCGAGACGGGCAUAACAGAGGGAAACCUCUGCUAAUUCCCGAUAUGCUGCCGAUGCCUUGGCAUCGACCAGGAAAGCUCCGGCGCUCGGAGAUCGGCCCGCGGUCCAUUAGCUAGUUGGUGAGGUAAGGGCUCACCAAGGCGACGAUGGAUAGCUGGUCUGAGAGGACGAUCAGCCACGCUGGGACUGCGACAUGGUCCAGACUCCUACGGGAGUUAGCAUCCGGGAAUCUUGCACAAUGGGCGCAAGCCUGAUGCAGCGACGCCGCGUGGGUGAUGAAGGUCUGCGGAUCGUAAAGCCCUGUCAGGAGGGAAGAAGUUCUGACUGUACCUCCAAAGGAAGCCCGGCUAACUACGUG
rnacentral:rRNA from 1 species